UACGUAGGGUGCAAGCGUUGUCCGGAAUUAUUGGGCGUAAAGAGCUCGUAGGCGGUGUGUCGCGUCGGAUGUGAAAGCCCGGGGCUUAACCCCGGGUCUGCAUUCGAUACGGGCAGACUGGAGUGUGGUAGGGGAGAUCGGAAUUCCUGGUGUAGCGGUGAAAUGCGCAGAUAUCAGGAGGAACACCGGUGGCGAAGGCGGGAUCUCUGG
rnacentral:rRNA from 1 species